CUGUGGGUUCGCAAGUGACCAGUCAUCAUUAACAAGUUCCCAGGACAACUCGAGACGAUUUCAUGAAGACAAAAGGAGAAGAGGAAUAAGUUCUAACGAUGGUUGAUAAUAAGAUUUACCUGCAUCUGGUUUUUCAUGCCAAUGCGGCCGUCUUUAGUAGCAACCACUGAAGGUUGAGAUGCUCCUACAGCCAUAAUCGCUCCCUUCAUUGAUCAAAGACAAGAAAAUCAGUGAGCUGUUAUUCCUUAGCAUAAUACUUAGGCUAAGAGAAUUAAGAAAAAUAGUUUUACAAACUAAAAUACAUGCAUAAAGCAAAAAGCACUUACUGUUCCAGGGGGUAGAAUAGCAUCAAACCGAUCAACGCCAAACAUUCCUAGGUUAGAGAGAGUGAAGGUACCUGAAAUUACCCGGAAUGGAAAUAAAAGAAACAAGACUCAGAAAAUCAUGCUAAAGUUACACAAGCAUUUUUGUUGCAAAACUCAAACUCAAAUCACUUCUAUAUUCUAGUAGUAGGUUUACCAGUGUUGUACUCCUGAGGCUGCAGCUGCUUGGCUCGAGCCUUAUCAACCAAUUCUUUCCAUUUUCUAGACAACGAAUAAAUGUCAACCUGUUUACAAAAGAUAGAACAACCCACUGAUACCGGUUUUGAAGACAGAGUAAACUCAAAACCUGUUAUAAAGCAUACAGAAGAAAAGAACCUUAUCAGCGUUCUGAAGCACCGGAGUGAUCAAACCACCAUCAAUAGCAACAGCAACAGCAACGUUGAUGCUACUGUUAUACACAAAACUGUUACCAUCUCUACAGGAAGAGUUUACAACUGGAUGUUUCGCCAGUGCAAGUGCAGUUGCCUUUGCUAGGAGUGCUGUCAUUGUCACACCUUUUGACUUAAUCUAAACCAACCAAACAACAAAUAUUAACAAAAUCAAUAUAUACACUAACAGUUUGUAACUAGUGUGUGCCUCUGAUGCACAUCAUAACAUACUAUCAUUUAUACUUCAACUAGCUAUCUGCCUAUCUCUCAUAAUCUCAUUCUCUGAUUACAACCACAUGUGCAAUCGAAAAACUACUAUACUAGUAAUACACAUAUUCACAUUAUCACAAUCAAUGGAAGCUCCAAUUUACUCUUAUCAUUUCGACCAAACUAAUUUCAAUAACUUACUCACCUUCUUGUAGAGAGCAUCAAGAGCAUCCGUAGUAAUCGUGUAACCGACUCUAAAAGUAGGAACCGUCAAACUCUCCACCAUAUUCCUGCUCACAGCCCCCUGCAUUGUCGUAAACGGAACCACCGACCCCAACUCCACACUAGGAGCUGCCACUACCUCCUUAACAGCUACCGCAGCUUGAACUCCUCCUCCAGCAGCAACCGCCUCAACAUCUUUAGCCACAAUCCUUCCCAUCGGUCCACUUCCAACUAAACCAGCCAACUCCACUUUCAAUUCCUUAGCUAACUUCUUAGCAUAAGGAGACGCCACAAUCCUCUUCCCUCCUUCAGACGCCGGAUGCACCGCAGACGCAGCAACCGCCUUAACCGCAACCGGAGCAGCCGCAAUCUUCUUCUCAACAGCCACAGGUGCUUCAAUUGCAGCCGUAGGAGGAGCCUGAGAAUCACCACCACCACCACUACCAGAAGCUUUAGCCUUAGCAUCAGCAAUCUCAUCCUCAGUCUCAGCUAAC
rnacentral:lncRNA from 1 species